GACGAACGCUGGCGGCGUGCUUAACACAUGCAAGUCGAACGAUGAAGAAGAGAAACGCGAACUUCGGUUCAAAUUUCACUUCGGAUUAGCGGCAGACGGGUGAGUAACGCGUGAGCAACCUACCUCUUACAAAGGGAUAGCCUCGGGAAACCGUGAUUAAUACCAUAUGACACAUUCAUAAGGCAUCUUAAGAAUGUUAAAGCUACGGCGGUAAGAGAUGGGCUCGCGUCCCAUUAGCUAGUUGGUGAGGUAACGGCCCACCAAGGCGACGAUGGGUAACCGGACUGAGAGGGUGAACGGUAACAUUGGAACUGAGACACGGUCCAAACUCCUACGGGAGGCAGCAGUGGGGAAUAUUGCACAAUGGAGGGAACUCUGAUGCAGCGACGCCGCGUGAGCGAUGAAGGAAUUCGUUUCGUAAAGCUCUGUUCUAUGGGAAGAAAAGGACUGUACCAUAGGAGAAAGCCCCGGCUAAAUACGUG
rnacentral:rRNA from 1 species